GUCGAACGCUGGCGGCGUGCUUAACACGUGCAAGUCGAACGGAAAGGCCCUGCUUUUGUGGGGUGCUCGAGUGGCGAACGGGUGAGUAACACGUGAGUAACCUGCCCUUGACUUUGGGAUAACUUCAGGAAACUGGGGCUAAUACCGGAUAGGAGCUCCUGCUGCAUGGUGGGGGUUGGAAAGUUUCGGCGGUUGGGGAUGGACUCGCGGCUUAUCAGCUUGUUGGUGGGGUAGUGGCUUACCAAGGCUUUGACGGGUAGCCGGCCUGAGAGGGUGACCGGCCACAUUGGGACUGAGAUACGGCCCAGACUCCUACGGGAGGCAGCAGUGGGGAAUAUUGCACAAUGGGCGGAAGCCUGAUGCAGCAACGCCGCGUGCGGGAUGACGGCCUUCGGGUUGUAAACCGCUUUCGCCUGUGACGAAGCGUGAGUGACGGUAAUGGGUAAAGAAGCACCGGCUAACUACGUG
rnacentral:rRNA from 1 species